UCUUACGUGAUCAAAGUUCUGAUGUGC
rnacentral:sRNA from 1 species